UAGGGAAUCUUCGGCAAUGGACGAAAGUCUGACCGAGCAACGCCGCGUGAGUGAAGAAGGUUUUCGGAUCGUAAAACUCUGUUGUUAGAGAAGAACAAGGACGUUAGUAACUGAACGUCCCCUGACGGUAUCUAACCAGAAAGCCACGGCUAACUACGUGCCAGCAGCCGCGGUAAUACGUAGGUGGCAAGCGUUGUCCGGAUUUAUUGGGCGUAAAGCGAGCGCAGGCGGUUUCUUAAGUCUGAUGUGAAAGCCCCCGGCUCAACCGGGGAGGGUCAUUGGAAACUGGGAGACUUGAGUGCAGAAGAGGAGAGUGGAAUUCCAUGUGUAGCGGUGAAAUGCGUAGAUAUAUGGGGGAACACCAGUGGCGAAGGCGGCUCUCUGGUCAGUAACUGACGCUGAGGCUCGAAAGCGUGGGGAGCAAACAGG
rnacentral:rRNA from 1 species